CCUACGGGGGACAGCAGUGGGGAAUAUUGGGCAAUGGGCGCAAGCCUGACCCAGCAACGCCGCGUGAAGGAAGAAGGCUUUCGGGUUGUAAACUUCUUUUCUCAGGGACGAAGCAAGUGACGGUACCUGAGGAAUAAGCCACGGCUAACUACGUGCCAGCAGCCGCGGUAAUACGUAGGUGGCAAGCGUUAUCCGGAUUUACUGGGUGUAAGGGGCGUGUAGGCGGGAAAGCAAGUCAGAUGUGAAAACCAUGGGCUCAACCUGUGGCCUGCAUUUGAAACUGUUUUUCUUGAGUACUGGAGAGGCAGACGGAAUGUCUAGUGUAGCGGUGAAAUGCGUAGAUAUUAGGCGGAACACCAGUGGCGAAGGCGGUCUGCUGGACAGCAACUGACGCUGAGGCGCGAAAGCGUGGGGAGCAAACAGGAUUAGAUACCCCGGUAGUC
rnacentral:rRNA from 1 species